rnacentral:rRNA from 1 species
UACGUAGGGGGCAAGCGUUGUCCGGAUUUAUUGGGCGUAAAGAGCGUGUAGGCGGCCAUACAGGUCAGCUGUGAAAACUCGAGGCUCAACCUCGAGACGUCGGUUGAAACCGUAUGGCUAGAGUCCGGAAGAGGAGAGUGGAAUUCCCGGUGUAGCGGUGAAAUGCGCAGAUAUCGGGAGGAACACCUGUGGCGAAAGCGGCUCACUGGACCACAACUGACGCUGAGGCGCGAAAGCUAGGGGAGCAAACAGGG